UACGAAGGGGGCUAGCGUUGCUCGGAAUCACUGGGCGUAAAGGGCGCGUAGGCGGAUCUUUAAGUCGGGGGUGAAAGCCUGAGGCUCAACCUCAGAAUUGCCCUUCGAUACUGGAGUAUCUUGAGACCGGAAGAGGUAAGUGGAACUGCGAGUGUAGAGGUGAAAUUCGUAGAUAUUCGCAAGAACACCAGUGGCGAAGGCGGCUUACUGGUCCGGUUCUGACGCUGAGGCGCGAAGCGUGGGAGCAACAGG
rnacentral:rRNA from 1 species